CAUAAUCAUUAGUCUUUUAAUUUAGGACUUGUAUGAAUGGUUUCACUGAUUAUUUUUGUCUUAUUAUAAUAUUUUGAAUUUUACAUUCUAGUAAAAAGGCUAGAAUUCAGUUUUAAGACAAGAAGACCCUAUCAAGCUUAAUAACAAAAGUUUAUUUUCAAUUUAAAUGUAAAUUAUUUUACUGGGGCAGUAAACAAAAAAAAUUUUGUUCAAAUAAUAUGACCUAAGAGUCUAGAAAAAACUAAAAUUUUUAAAAUGUUAACAAGUUACUGUAGGGAUAACAGCAUAAUUUUUUUAAAGAGUUCUUAUCAUCAAAAAAGUUUGUGACCUCGAUGUUGGAUUAAGAUUCCUUAUUGGCGCAGUAG
rnacentral:rRNA from 1 species